CCAGACUUCAGAGGACUCCAGUAUGGCUGUUGAGCUGAACUUCAAAUUCCACCAUGCCUGACCGAUGUUUUUCUAAUAAAUGUGCACAUAUGGACAGACAUUUUCAGUGAACAUCGCUGGUAUUGAUGCCACGUGAAAUGUUCUUCAGAAACAUUCCAUCUUUGCUAUUCUUUCAGAAUCACUAUCACCAUCAACCCCUCUCUCCACCAGAGAAAGAGACAUAAAUGUUAAAUAUAAAUAGCUCCAAAUUAUAUGGUUCUGGGCUUUAUUUUUCUUGCAAGCUUGGGACUUCUGGGCUAUGAUCAUUUAUGCUGUCAGUGACCACCUCUGAUUAAACCCAGCCUAUUGCCUCGGUAUGAAGACACGUAAUUUUGAACCACAUGUCAAGUGUUCUGUGGGUGUGGCUUGUCAAACACACAUCAUUGUUCUAAGAGGUCCCUGGACUAGAGGGCGGAGCCAGAACCAAUGGUUUCAAGAAAUCAGGGGAAGGCUGGGCAUGGCGGCUUACGCCCAGAAUCCGCAGCACUUUGGGAGCCCAAGGCCAAGGUGGGCGGAUCACUUGAGCUCUGUCUUUUUUUUUUUUUUUUCUGAAACAGAGUCUCGUUCUGUCACCCAGGCUGGAGUGCAGUGGCGUG
rnacentral:lncRNA from 10 species